UCUGCGCAUGCACUAGGGCGCAUUGCCUGGUGGAGCAUAGCGGAGCAGAGGACUUGGACUAGUGAUCCACUGAUCCUUCCCUUCCCUCCCGGCCGGCCACGGCCAGCGGCCAGUUCCUGCGGCCUCUGAGCGGCUGCUGCUGCUGCUGCUUCCUCGGCCGAUGAUGGAGACAGACGGAGGGGCCGGGCUAUAGUCACGUGCAACGCCUCCUGCCGGCCUAGAUCCAUCUCAGGCCAAGCACUCUGCUGUCUGCUCCCUCGAGACUGGAGUGCGCGCGCGCCCCCA
rnacentral:lncRNA from 1 species